ACAAAUUGACAAAAAUCCAAAGAAAUCCCCAAAAUCACAAAGGGAAAUUUAAUAUAUAAAUAAGGGAAGAAGCUCUCAAGCCUUUCUCACACACACACACACUUUCCAAAUUCCAAAUGGCUGAGUCGUCUUACGAAUUAGAGGCGGAAGAUGAGGCCAAAUCCCUCCUCCGCUCCGGCUACCGUCGUCCCUCACGGCGCUGGAUCCUUCUACGGCGGAAGAAGCUUCCGACUGCCCGUCUCGGCGGAAGAAGGCCGCCAAGAACGGCGGCGAUUUGGAGGUCAAUUAAAGAAAUUAAAAUGAGAAAGUGGGCGAUGACGAUGACGAAUAAGGUCCGAUGCAAAGACAUUGCCAGCUUCAAUGCUUUUCUUAGAAAGAUUCUAUUGGAGAUUUCUUUAGCUAUUCCUCUUCUUGGCGUUUCCCUCUCUAUUUAACUAUAUACCUCUUUUUUAUGUAGUACUCACCAUCUCCAUCCAUCCUUCCACUGAACUUGAAAGUACUGUUUGAAUCUCUCUUUUUUUCUUAUAUAGCUUUUCAGUACAAACAUAUUAGUUUAAAUUUGCUUAUAGACUUUCUUCAAAAUCAUUUCAACACUCUUACCAUUUGCUAUCACUAUAUCUCAACAAUUUCUGAUCACUGCUCGACCUCUUAGCUAGAUUAUAUUCCAACCCAUAUGCGAUUCUGACAAACCAUUGCUAAAAAUAUAAACAAAAGGUUCAGAAACUUUCAAAAGGGUUUAUUAAUUUUAAACUAAACUUUUCCAUUUUUGGCUAAACUUUUAACAAAGUAUUGUUUUGGUCACUUUGUGUUAAUACAAAUAUGAUCUCAAGUUAGAUAAGUUAGAGAUGAACGUUGAGCCAAGCAGAUUUGAACAUGUAUAUAUUGAUCAUGUAUGUAUGUAUUAGUGUAUUGUAGAAAAGGUGGUAAAUAAUAUGAUGGAUUUCAGACAAUCAUUUUUGUUCAUUUUCUUGGUUUCCAUUACAUGUAUUCAUAUUUUAUUGUUCAUCAAAUUUCUUUUAGAUGUGAAAAGACGACAAUAUUACAAAUGGUAGAAAUUUAAUUUAAUCACCAUCUAUUCCGCAUCAUAUUUGAAAAAGUCUAUCGAUUAUUAAUAAAUCUAAAAUAAGUUUAAUUGACUUAAAUUAUAAGUUUAUUUUAUCGAAAAACAGUAUAAAGUGAGUUAAAACGGCCGUUCCGACUUUGUCAUCAACUUUUGUCAUCACAUCAUUUAUGCUUAAAGAAGAGGAGAAAUUAAGGAUUUGAAAAUUUUAAGAUAAACUUAUAAACUAAGUCAAUGAGUUAGCACAAUAAUCAUUUUUAUGUGAUUCAAAUAUGAUUGAUUGUAUGACUUUGUUAAAAUAAUAUAUUAUGUUACCCCAAUUAUAUUACUAUAUCUUUAAUCAUAUUUUACAAAUUCAAUUAUAACUUCCGAAAUUUAAUUUUAUCAUAACCAAUAUUUUGGUUCAUAUAUUUUAGAGUUUGUUCAAAGUUUAGUUCAUGUAUUUUCAAACGCUCGAUUUUAGUUCUUGAACUUUUAAUAAAUCUUAAAUUUAGUCUUUACAAUUAAUUUAUUGUAUAUAUUGUGUUUAUUUUCAUGAAAAUCAUCACGAUUAUUCAAUCAAUUUCAAUAAAAAUUAGUAUCAAAAGAUCAAGUUUAAAAUUUACUUAACCGUAAGAACGAAAAAUUCAAAAUUUUAAACGUUAAGAAGUAUAGAAACUAAAAUAGAACAAAUUUAAAAGUUUGGUGACAAAACUAUUAAUUAAUUAAUAAGUUAUGUAGCCAUAUAUAAUCACAUUUGAUUUGGUUGUCAAACUAAUUAAAAAUAUUAAUUAAUUACCAUUCUAAUUCGAUCGUUAUUCAUGAUGGAUGGAUGGAUGGAUAUAUAUUAAUCUUCUAAAAAUAAUAAAAGAAAUUGUACAAUAAUAUAUAUGUAAAGAGAUUGGUAUCGUGGGUUUUUGAUUUGGAAUGAUCUCAUGAAUGUAUAUAUUUUAAUUUUAAGGGAAGAAAUUUUGUUUGUUAUAUUCAACGAUGGAAAUGGAUAUGUAAAGCAUUUUCCUCUACAAACCCUUAAAAAAUUCUCCAAUAGGAUGGGCUCGAAGUUAUCCAAAAAUGUCUCAAGGCCCAAAGUCUGUCUGGGUUUAACAUCCUGAAAAUUCUCGAGGCUCAAGUUCUAUUGGGCUUCACGUUCUAUCGAAGUUCCUCUAGGCCCAAAUUAUAUAAGGCUUCACGUGCAGACAUAGUUCCUUAACGAGGCCCAAAUUCUCAUGGACUUCAGAUUCUACUCAAGCUUUACCCAAGGCCCAAGGUCUUCAUCUUCGUUAAAAGUGAGGAAUGGACUUCACGUUCUAUAGAAGUUCCUCGAGGCCCAAAUCAUGUAGGGCUUCACGUGUUGACAUAGUUACUUAUCGAGGCCCAAAUUCUUAUGGACUUGAGGCUCUACUCAAGCUUUCCUCAAGGCCCAAGUUCUUCAUCUUCGUUAAAAGUGAGGAAUGAGCUUCACGUUCUAUCGAAGUUUCUCGAGGCCCAAACCAUGUAGGGCUUCACGUAUAGACAUAGUUCCGCAACGGGGCCCAAGUUCUAAUGGACUCCAGGUUCUACUCAAGCUUUCCCCAAGGCCCAAGCUCUUCAUCUUCGUUAAAAUUGAGGAAUCGGUAUGUAUUUAAGGGCUUUCUAAGACUAUUAAAUUAAUGUUAUUUACAUGAAUGUCUAACAUUCUUCAAUAAUUAAAAUCAAAUUAGGGCACAAUUGCUAUUUAGAUCCUAUACUACAAUUAAUUUAAGAAUGUUCUAAAUUAGGAAACUUGAAAAAGAUCUUAUUUUAAGUAUCUUCAUCAUUCUUGAAUUUUUUUGAAAAAAUUAAAAUGAUUUGUAAAUAAACCUAUUGUUUCUCUCUCACCUCCGUUUUUUUUUUAUAAAAAAAACUCAUAACGUCACUUAUUUUUAUAUAUAUAUAUAUAUAUAUUGAGUGCAUUUAAGGUAUAUGCUAUUGUCAAAAUUACAUUUGAUUUUUAAAAAAUUAUAUUAUAGUAUAAUUAAGACAUAUACUAUAGUCACUAUGUAGAUAAUUUAGGGUAUAUUGUAUUAUAUUGAGGGUUACGUUUUCAAGAUAAUUGUCUUUCGAUCUCAAUGAAUAUCAUUCAUCGUACAAUUCAAUCUUCAUGUAAAUAACAUAGACGAGGAUAAGCACAACAUCUUUUAUACAAAUAUCAACAUAUAGAUGAAAAUUUAAUACUACACAAACAACAUACCUUUUGAUGAAAAAUCUUCUCUUCUACUCACAGUUUGUAAGCGUUCAUUCUUAAUUUUAAGUUAAAUAAUAGCAACAAUCAUGCAAUCAUAAAUGUGUGUUUAAUGUUUAAUUAUAAAAUAAGAGAAGAAUUAGUUGACCUAGUUGACUAUGAGAAAGCAAUUAUUGUGAAGUUGUGAUGAUUAAAGAUUAUGACUUUUGAGAAAAAGAAAAAAGACAAUCAAAUAGAAAAAAAAAGGUGGAAAUUUGUUGCACCCCAAAAAGAAGAACUUUUUAAAAAAAAAAAAAGAAAAAGAAAAGUGAAUUAUUGAGGAAAAAAAGGACAAAAACGUGGGAGCAUUGAUUUAAUGUUAUGAAAAAAUAGGCAUACAAAUAGUUGGCUAAUUCAAAGGAAUAACUUUUGAUCAAUUACUUGGAAUAUGGUUCCAAGGUAUGCACAUGCCUUUCCAAGAAAGAUGAAUCAAAUAUAUGUUUUAGAAAGUAGAGUAAAUUGACCAUACCCAUAAACAUAAUUUGUGAUUGAGCGUUGGUAUCAACUUGAUACACACGUGCGUCUCUUAAAGUGAUAACUAAGUGUAUAGUAAGUCGAAGAUAGAUAUACAAGUAUUGAAAAUUAAAGAAAACAUGCAUCAGAUAUUUGAUACUUGUGUGCGUGAUAGUUACAUUCUAUAAUAUGAGUUGUUAUAAAAUGUGAUUAAAGUUGGUGGGUUGCAUAAAGAUGAAUUUAGCUUAAAAGACAUUUAAAUGGUUUUUUAAAUUAAUAUUUUUAUAUUUAACUUUUUACGUACGUGUUUUGGCAGUCUCAAAUGGCCACCAAAUAGAGUAUAAUAUUUACAACAACUAAAUAUCUCUCUCAAAUCCUUCACGCAUCAGAUCCCAUAACCUAGUUCUAAAUCUGGAGAAUAGCGGGUCAACACUAGUGGUGAUUCAGUCCGUGAUCGUGUGAAGACUACAAAGAUCAAGAGUUUCAAGGUUUGAAUUUCAAUAACCCUAAUUUCAUUUUAAUUAGGAUAAAAUUUGAUCCUUAUUUUAGCUACACACGUCCACCGUAUCCAUCAAAUAGCAAGUAGGAAGUGGAAUAACUUGAACACUAUUAACGUAUAUUUACAAGAAACGUGAUCAACAACCUGACACAUAAGGAAGUAUGACAUGUGAACUAUUAGAACACUGAAUAUGGACAACUAAAUUACACCUAACUUUACCAUAAACACAAACAUAAAAUUUAAAAGUAAAUACCCAAAAAUAGAGUGUGAUUUGAUAUGUUGUAUUGAUAUAUUGUGUAAUAAUGGUUGAAGAUAUGAAUCUUUAUAGAGUUUGAUAAUCUUCCUAUACCAUUUAAUGAGAGUGGCUAAAAAAAAAAAGGUGAAUGACCAUUUGCAAAAUCUUUACUAUUUAAAAAUUAUUACUUUUUUUUUAAAGAAAAUAAUGGGAAUACUAGUUUAAAUUCUCACUUUUAUCCUUUAUGGAUUGAAGUAGGUUUUCAACUUAAGUGCUAUCCUAUAGUUUUAUAAUAUAUUCUUUCUACUUUAUGAUUCUAUCUUAAAAACUUUCAUUAUCAUAUCUUUGUUUUAUUUUCUUUUUAUUACGUGUGGUAGAGAAUUGAACAUCAAAUCUUGUAAUUAGUAGUAUAAAUUCGACUCAUAUUUAACUGUACUUACAUGUUUAUAGAUAUUACCAUUUUUUUUAUUAGGGUGAUAUAUUAACUAAAUAAAAGUUAGUGUGAAUUAAAGGGAAGUAUUAGAAAGAAGUGAAUAAUGUUACUAAUAUAGAUUCAUUGUAGUGAUUCUGCCUCUUAACUAACUUACAACGUAGUUGGGGAUAUUACUUUUAGGUUACUUUUAUAAAAGUGAUCGAAAAUUAGUGAAAUUUAAUUAUAAUAAUUUAAAAUUAAUUAAUGACGUUAACUCUAAUAUUGGAAAAGUGAAUAUUUAGAAAAAUAUUUUAAAAUAAUAAACCUUGAAACUAAGAUUUUUCCCCCUAAAUAUCAAAUUCUUUUCUAAAUUUCAAUCAUUUUAUUUUCUUAAAUUUCUAUUAUUUUAUUGCUCAAAUUUUAAUAAUGUCAUACAAUAAAUUUUUUAAAAAGAGAAAAAAAAUACUAACUUAUUUCUAAUUGUUAUCUAACAAAAAUUUUUUUUUUAAAAAAAAUGCUGAUAUGAACUUUCUUCGGAAAAAAAUAUAUUAUUCUUUUCUGUUUGAGGUAAAUUUUAAAUUCACAUUUACAUUAAUUAUAUAUAUAAAUAAGUAAUAAGAAUUUGAUUUGAUUUAUUUUAUUUUAUAAUUUAAGACUAUGAGAUAAUUUUUUCAUUCAUAGUUAGAAUAUACUUAUCAUACCAAUUCAUCGAUAAGUUCAAAUUCUUCUUAGUUUUAAUGCUUCAAACUCUAUAUAACAAAUCAUAAUAUUUAUAGUGUUUAUUAUACCAUACGUUUAAUAUAAAAUUUCUAGUUACAUUUCAAAACUAUUUUGAAAUUUAGAUUUCUAUUUAAGAUUAAAAAAGAAAACUCAAAAAUGGCAAAGCUCAAUUAUUAAUCUUUUAAUUAGGGAGAGAAAAUGAGAAAAAGAUGGAAGAACUAAGAAAGGGAAUGAGAGUGGAAGACACCUUUGUUCGUUUUAGUAAUGAACUGGAGUGGAGGGGCCCAUGAGUUGAAUACGUACCAACCAUAGCCAUUGACUGUUAUUAAAUCAACGGUUGGGAUCUCCUCGUGACAUUAUCUUCAGUUAAUCAAACGGCAGACUAAGAAUUACGGACUGACUUUCCGUUGGUCGGUGCUCCGUUGUUGUGCGUCCCCUUCUAAGGUCAUUUUCGUCCUUCCAUCCAAUGCAAUAAAUGUGAGAGCAAAGCAUUGAAAAUCAUGUUCACAUUCAUUCAUUCUAAUUUCUCUCUUUUCUCUUAAACUAAAUCUAAUUUUAAGAGUAAACCAUACUCUUUUGAUAUAAAAGAUUUGAAUUAAUUUAUGAUAUUGGUUUAUUUUCGAAGUUUCAAAAGUGAAACAUUUCAAGUAUUUGAAUUAUUCUAAUAAGUUAUUGAUUUUUAAAUAGUCUAUAAAGAACUUAUAUCUUAUCUAUGAUAUUAUAUUAGAUAAGACAUAAAGUUUGUCUUGAAUGAUAAAAUAAAAUUUUAUUAGAGAAGAGGUUAUUAAACGUUAUAAAAAUGAUCCUAAUGAGUUAUAGUAUAGAUUCUCGAUAACUAAAAGAUAAAAGUCUUUUCUUCUUUUCGUAACGGAAUAUAUAUACACAUACUUGUGGAUUUAAUAUAGGUUACACAAUUUAAGUUCUCUCUAACUUUAUACUUUUUAUGUAAUAUAUAUAUAUACACUUUGAAAAUACCAAUUUUCUUAAUUACCUUUGUGAUAAAAUUGUCAUCCACGUCUCUCUAGAUCUAAGUUAAAAUCUCGUUCUUUACAUUUUUUUCUAAAUUACUUUACUGGUUUAUAAAACUCCGUCAACAAAGGUUUCAAAAUCGUCACUAUUGUGUGUGUAUAUACACACACAUUUGAAGAGUUCAAUCAAACUUUAAUCCACACUAUUUUAUAUGGGAUGGUUGAAAAAAAAAACUAGGAAUAGGAAUAUAUUGAAUUAAAGAGCUUUGAAAAAAUAAACUAGGAAUAGUGUAUGUAUAUAUAUAGAUAUAUAUUGAAUUAAAGAGGUUUGGAGUAUUAUUGAUAUAAUAUGUGGUUACUUGUUACACACAUAAUAAGACCGACAUAGAAAAAUAUAAAAGAUAUCCCACAUUGCAUGGAAAAUUAUUUACAAAAUGUCACAUUGUAUUAGUAAUGUAUUUAUUUAGCAUACUCAUUUUUCAAUUAUUAAAUACGAUUAUAUUUGUCAUUUUUUGACUUUUUCUUAACAAUCACUUUCGAGUUUAUAAAUGAAUGGACCAUUUUUAAGGGUUUUUUUCUUUUUUUUUUUACAAUUAUACAAAUCCAAUUAAUAUUUAUUUAUUAUUAAUAGUGCAAUACUAAAAAUUAGUAAUGUUUAUUGAUUUUACCUAUAAACUCAACUAAAUAUUCUCCCAAAACUAAAAAUACAAAGUUAUACAAAUAAUGCAUUUACCACACAAAUAAAGUAGGUAAAAAACACACUUCAUUUCAAACUCUAAUAUUCAUACUUAUUUUCUUAAAAGCAAAUAAUUGGUCCAUUCAAGGUGACACAUUUCUUCUUCCUCGAUCAAUAGCGUUAUUUUUUUUUUAAUGUGUGGCUCUUUAUUUUGCAUUUCUUUAAUAUAUUUAUGAGUUUUUCUUCGUAAAUAAUUACAAUAUAGGCUGCAUCCAAAUAUUACUUUCUCUUCUUAAAAAACCAAAAACAAUUAAAAUAACUAAUACUCACAAUGUAGUUUUAUUCACUUGGUAGAGAUAAAAUUUUAGGGGUAAAAAUCUCAAUUACCAAAUAAAAAAAUGAACCAAAAUCUUACCCUAUUUUGUUUUUUAGGUUAAUUUCUUUAAUGAUUUUCAUCUUUUUUUUUUCUUUUUCUGUUAGAAAGGAGGUUAAAUUUGUCGAGGAUUGUCCCAAGCACAAUCCAAAACUCAUGGACAAACGAAAGGCCAAGAAAAUAGAGAGACGAAAUUGGAGGAUGUGUACUCUCAAAAACUGAAAAGUCAAUCUAUCAAGUUUUAAGCCAACCAACGGAUCAAUCAAGCCCAAUGAAUUGUACUAAUUAAAAAGUAUCUAAAUCGAGCUCUAUACCCUCGAAGGUCGCAAUCCUCUAAACACAUUGCAAUUACACAAAACAACAUACAAGUGCUAGAGGAAGAGUUGAUACUAGAUCAUCCAACAACUCUCUCAAGGAUAAGAAGUAUACUUUGAAGAACUCAAGACCUCUUCAACUCUCUCAAGAAAGAGUAUUUUAUAUGUAUAUAUAAUGAGAAUAAUAAUAAUUAAUUUGUAUUUCUUAGACCUUAGUCAAAUAAAUGGACAAAAAAAAAAGUUAGAAAAUUUAGGCUUUGGAUUAAAAGAUCAUAAAUUUUAUGGACAUAAGAGAGCGAGAAAGGAAGUGGUGGUAAUUUAGAGGACGAUGGCGCAGUUCGGUUCGGACCAGAAAUGGUUCAUGGACGGUGGUCAAUUCGCUAGAUCGUUGAUUGCUAUUGUUGCGACUGUACGGACAUUUGUUUAUAUGUUGAUUUGUUAAUUAAUUAAUUGAUUAAUGAGAUUUGAAAGAAAAGUCAAGAUGGGACCUUCGAAGAAACCUACAAAAUCUAUUCCUUUUGAUUACUGAUCUGACCACAGAUACACCAACUCAAAACCCUAUUUGUUUUCUCAUUCCAAUGGAUUAUUAUUAUUAUUAUUUAUUCCACCAAAACCUAUUUAUUAUUAAUUUAAAGUUAUUGUAUUUUUAAAAUUAAUAUGUUUGUUUAAGCCAUCACAUUUGUACUUUGUCAAUUUUAAAAUUCUGUGUUAUUUUCACUCAUUAUAAUAUUUAUUACAUGAUUUAAUAUUAAUUGUACUUUUUUAAAAAAUAAAACAAUGGUUUUGGUUUUUAUAAUUUUAUCUACAAUCCAUUUUUGUUGCAAGGAUUCCUUGAUUCAUACUCCAUGACUCUAAAAUUCAAGUCCUCAUAUAAGAGAUUUCAACCUUUAAUUUCCCCUUUGAAAUUUUUUAAAAGAGAGAAUUUUCCACAUUGAUUUUUUGAACAUUUGAAUCAUCAUCAUCGUAUGAUAUCAUUCUUGAGGUAUGAUAGGAAAAUUCUGGACAUAGAAUUAAGAAUGCUCCAAUUAAUUUAAACAAAUAGCCUUUAAAUACUUUGGCUUUCAAAGAUUUCUCAUGAUUUAAUGGCAAAAUUUAAUGCAAAAAAGAACUAGGAAUUCAUUAAAAUAAAUUCUAAAGACAAUUGUCUAUUUUGACUAAGUUGAGAAAAAAAAAAACACUUUGUUCAAAUUUUAAACUCUUUUGAACAAUGUUAUUACGUGAAAGGAUGGAAUUUUCGAUCUUUUUUUAUUAAAGUUAUUCAAUUGGGGGAGUGCUCAGACAUAAAGAAUUAAGAUUGACACUCAAUGUGUACGCAUUGGAUGGUCAAAUAUUCAUCUUCAUUUUGGCCUCCUUGAAUUCUUCAUCCCAUUCAAACUCUAAAGUUUGGUAAACAUUUAAACUCAUUUGUACUUUGCUUUUUUUUAAAAAUACUAUGAGAUUUUAAUAAACAAUUUUGUUAUAACCAAACCCAUGUUUCAGUGAUCUGACAAAGUAAAAGCUUAAAAACUCAAACAAUUUUUAGAGCAAAAUUGAUGAUUCAAAGGAUAACCAUUUUAAAAGGCUAAAAUAAAAUGUCAAUUACUAUAUUAAAUAUUAGAAAAAUAAUUUUUUGAUCCCUAGAUUUUAUUUUUAAUUAUAGUUUUCUUAGUCCUACAUUCCAAGAUGUUACAUUUUAAAUUUUAAGGGUCAAAUAGAAUUUAGACUCAAAAUCUACAAUAAAAAAGUUUUUUUCCCUACCAAAGUAUUUUUGGGUCAAGAGAAAAUAUAAAUCGGUUUGUAAGAUGACCGACUGUGCCUUCAAAUUCGACACCUAAUUAGGCUGCCAAACUGGCGGCAUAUUAUAUGGAAAAAAAAAAAGAAGAGUAAAUUAUGAUAUUUAAAAAUUGAAUAGCCUUUUAUCUCUUUCUAACUUUUUGCCAAAUAUUUAAUUAAGAAAUGUUUGACUUAGUAUUUCAAAGUGUUUAUUCUAAGAUUGAAUUUAGGUAUAUAAUCAAAUAUUUAAGAUGGUUUUUCUGGUUUGACAAACCAUAUAAACUCAAACAUUUGUAAAUAUUUUAAAUAGAUUUUAGUAUAUUUUAUUUAAUCAACUCUUAGCCACUUUGGGGUUGUAAAAUUAGGAUAGAAUCAAAUUGUUGUAAUAAUAUUAAGUCUUUUCAGAUUAAUUAGAGAAUAAAAUAUUUUUCAAGAGUUUGAUUUCUUUAUUUUGCAUUCUUAUAUUAUUUCUAAUUUUAUUUUCUUUAUAUAUACGUGAAAGUUUGGGUAGAAGUACACAACUUCAACUAACUUACAAAGACAGCUAUUUGACUCCAGUAUACUGCACUAAUCACCUUCUAAGCAACCACUGUAAUCUUAACAUUAUAUUUUGGUUCAGAAAACAUUUUAUUCCUUUUAUUUUGUAAUAUGGUCUGUGUCACUGCUAAGACGAUGAAGGAGUCAAGUAGACUAUUUUAACAUACUCUAAGUUUGCCUGAGGGUUAUCAUAAUCGUAAGAUUAGUAUUAGUGUUAUUUUACUUUUUCUUUAUUUAUCAUUUGUCACUAUUCCUCACUCCUCUUUCACUAUUCUUCACCGAUGUCACUAUUUCUUGCUCAUUUCUUUCACUAUUUCUUACUCAUUUCUUUCACUAUUUCUAACUUUUCUAAAUAUAAACUCUAAUAGUCCGCACCUCAAAUACAACCUAUAAUAAUUCACAAAUUAUAAUAAUUCACUCUACGUCCCAAAUGUUAUCUAAAAGAUCAUGGAUUCAAUAUAUGUUGAUACCAAAAUGACCAAAUGUUUUUUAAAAGAAACACCUUCUGGUGUGAUAGAGAAUGGAAGGAAGGGACAGAGACUUCUAGUUUAAUUUAAUCCAGCAAAGAAUCAAGAAUAUUGAUAGUAAUAAAUUUAAUAUAUAAAUUUAAAACGGGAGUGACGUAGGAUAUGGUUUUGGGAAGCAAUAAAGAAAUUGGAGUUAAAAAAAAAAGGCAGGAAGGAGAAAGUGGGGAUUAUGAGAAAAGGGUAGGGAGAUUUUUGAGAUGGUGAGAGAAAAAGUUAGAGAAACCUAGCCCAGGUUCUAUCCGGUUUCCUAAGGGUCUGCUUCUCUUUACUCGGAAAAUCUGAAACUCGUUUUGACUGGGACAAGCAGCAGCCCCACUCGUUUGAAAUCUCCAAAUGAAACAUGUUUUCUUUUCAACAUUUUAAAAACAAGACCACACUAUGCAAUUUUAAAAACUACUUCUAAAUCAACUUACUUUUAUAAGUUCUUUAAUUAUUUUAUUUAAGAUUCCAAAUUCUUAAAUAAUCCCACUAUUCUCCCUCUUCUCUCUUCUCUCUUCUCUCUUCUCUCUUCUUUCUUCUUUCUUCUUUCUUCUUUCUUCUUUCUACUUUCUAUAAGUAGGUGUAUUUUAUCAAUCUCCAUUGACUAUAAAUAUAUAUAUAUAUAUUUGAUAAAAAUGGUUUAAGAUAAACUUUACGAGUGUUUCAAUGUUUCAAAAGUUCAAUUUUAUUUUUUCAAAUAAUUUACUCUUAAAUUUGAACAUUUAAAAAGUUAAAUCCAACCGCUUAAAAAGACGAUGUUUGAAUUGAUAAAACACUAUUACUUAGAAUAAAAGAAUAUAAGCAUUGAAAUAGUAUUGUGUAAGGAUAUCUAGUUCAAUCAAUUUUUUUAUUAAAACGUGGUGAUAAUUUCUUUAUUAAUUUAUGAUAGUGAAACUAUAUAGUGACAUAUUUUAAAUUUAUGCUAGUGCCCAAAUAAUCUAGACUAAUAAAAUAUUUCCUUUAAAAGCUUUUAAAGUUUUGUUGAGUGUGUUUGAAAAUGUGUUAACUACUUGUUUGUUUCUGUUAAAAGCAUCAUUUAUAACUUUAACCAAAUACCAUCAAUUAAAAAACAUUUUUAAUCCUCGGUAAUGGUAUUUUUAAAAAAUAAUAAUAAUAAUAAAGAUUAAUCCAGACCUAAUUAUCAAAUACUCUCCUACAAAUAGAAUUAAUCCCCUCAAAUAAUUUAAUGAUGUUCUUGCAAUAAAUCUCAGUGAAUAAAGUACAAAACUAGUAUAGUUAACCUACUUAAUCGGAUUUAAACAAAUCUCUCCACAAAAAUCUUAUUCUAUAGUUCAGUUUUGAUAAAAUAUAAAAAAAGGUUCAUUUUCUUGAUGACUUCGAGAAGAGUCUAUAUUUUUUCUAUUUAUUUUAAAUUAUAAUGUUUUGAAAGUGUUUUCGUUAUAGAAUUGUAGAGAUUAAUUUUACAUGAUACAAUUUUUCUAGUUCACGGUUUCUUUUUCUGAUUUGAAGUUUUUUACCUCAAUUUUAUAGAUUUCUUUGUUAUCUUUCAUUUUACAUUUAUAAUAACAAUGAAAGGUUAUUAUUUCUAUCCCACGUCUAAAAGAAGACAACAUGUUAAUUACAAUUGAAUCUUAUUUUAGCGUUCACUGUUGAAGUUAUUUGUAAGAAAAAAAAAUAAAGCAAAAUAAAAGUUUUCGUAAAACGUGUGGACGGUGAGAUCUAUGGAAGAAAAAGCUGCUCUCUCUCUCUCUCUCUCUCUCUCUCUCUCUGCCUUUUGGCGUUUCCCUCUCUAAACUGUAUAAAAGGAGAACCCAGUGGCAAGACCAAUCAAUAAGAACUUGGUGGUUUCCGAACCAAUCUAUUUUCCCUUAACACUUUCUCUUCCAACCUCCAUUUUUUCCCAUCUCUACAAAAGAAAUCAACUUCCCAGUUCCCAAGGAAUAAGAGAAAGAAAACUGGAUGGCACUAGCAAAUGAAAUUAUUGGAUCAUCUUUUCUUCACAAAACAUCCUGUGUUGCUUCUCAGUUUCAAGGUAAGCAAUUAUUCAGGCCAAUUUGGGUGGUUCCAGUAGAGAAAAGGCAGGUGGUUGCACAACUAAGGAAGGCUGUGAACAGCCCUGUGGCUGCUAUCAGUGAGGAUUUAAUCCAGGCUGUCCCCUUGGCCGAGAAGCCGGUUAAAUACAAGGUCAGAGCCGUUGUAACUAUCAGAAACAAGAACAAGGAAGACAUUAAAGAAACUAUUGUUAAGCAUUUGGAUGCUCUCACUGAUAGGAUUGGCCAGAACGUUGUUCUCCAACUUAUCAGCACCGAGAUUGACCCAAGUGAGUCAUUUUUCCUUUUUUUUUUUGUUUAUUUGUGUUCUUUUUUCCAAUUUAUGGACGUCCUAUGAGUUUUCCACUUCUGGGUUUGCUUUGUUUUCAUGUUUUCGUUGUAGUUUUUUUGAGAAAACCUUUUGUCUUCUUCCUGACUAUAAUAGUUUUAUCUGAUUUUGUCUGAAUCUAAAAGAGUUUUACUGAAUUGAUUUUCAUUUGGAACAUUGAAGAAACAAACGCUCCAAAGAAAAGCAACGAGGCUGUUUUGAAAGAUUGGUCAAAGAAAACUAAUCUAAAAGCCGAGAGAGUAAAUUACAUAGCAGAUUUUUUACUGACCUCGGACUUUGGAGAGCCUGGAGCCAUCACAAUUACCAACAAGCAUCAACAGGAAUUCUUCUUGGAGACUAUCACAAUCGAGCAAUUUGCAAAUGAUCCUAUUCAUUUCCCCUGCAAUUCCUGGGUUCAGUCCAGAAAAGAUCACCCUGCGAAGAGGAUAUUUUUCUCUAAUAAGGUAAAUUUUAAAAAAGUAAAAAUAAAAUAUCAACGUUUUUUCUUAGUUCAGCUUUUGUAAUUUGUUUUCAACUAAAUAAUAAAGACCUUUAUGAGAUAAUGCGAGUUAAAGCUGAUGUGAUGUAUUGUUUCAUAUAUCUGUUUUUAAAUGUCUCCACGUCCUCUUGUCAUUUUAAUGAAUGACAAAUAUAAGUCCCAUAUCAUAGACUAUAGGGGAGGUGAAAAGAAAGGGAGGAGAAUUUGCAAGCCUUUGUUUUCCGUUCGAAACUAUUCUUUAUUUAAUUGUUUCAUUCCUUUCUACAGUUCUGAAUCUGCUAAACUAUUUGAUAAGAUUGCCUGUGGACCCAGAAUUCGAUCUAACAAAACUAUAAUCAAAUCAUCAAGUUUGCUACUUUUGCGAUUAUGAGCAUGCCAAUCAUAAAUGAAGAAGAAUAAUUUCAAACCGAAAAGAGCUAAAAAUUGUAAUCGAACCUUCCUGCAAAAUCGCAUGUUCUCUUUCAAUCUUGCUGUAAAUUUUUGAAUGGCUAUCUAAUGUGUGUUCCACAAUUCUGCAGCCUUAUCUUCCAGGUGAAACACCUGCAGGGAUUAAAAAAUUAAGAGAGAUUGAGCUUAAAGACAUUAGAGGUGAUGGGAAAGGAGAAAGAAAACUGUCUGAUCGAGUAUAUGACUUUGAUGUGUACAAUGAUUUGGGAAAUCCAGACAAAGGAAUAGAAUACGCUCGCCCAAGGCUUGGUGGUGAGAAAAUUCCAUAUCCUAGAAGAUGUCGCACCGGACGUGCCCCUUCCGAGACUGGUAAAAUUUGACACCAGCCUUUGAAUUAUAACAAUGAUUACCAAAAGCUAUAUAAAAUCCUUAUCUUAUAACGGUAUGUAUACUACAGAUAUGACUGCAGAGAGUCGAGUUGAGAAACCGUUACCCAUGUACGUGCCAAGGGACGAACAGUUUGAGGAGUCUAAAAAAACUUCUUUCUCUCUUGGGAGGCUUAAGGCAGUUCUUCACAACUUAAUUCCAUCCCUCAAAGCCAGCAUUUUGUCAAACAAACAUGAUUUCCAUGGUUUCUCAGAUAUUGACAGCCUUUACAGUGAAGGGGUUCUCCUUAAAUUAGGCUUGCAAGAUGAACUCCUAAAGAAGCUCCCACUGCCAAGAGUUGUGAGUGAAUCCAGCCAAGGACUGUUAAGAUACAACACACCCAAGAUCCUUUCCAGUAAGUGACAUCAUCAUCCUUUAAAAGUGUUAUUCAUACAAGCAUGCAAUUGACUAACAUACCAUCAGUUUGCAAAAUUACUUCUCAUAAAGAUUCAAAUCAACUGUUUUACAGAAUUAAAACAAUCCAAAUUAAUGAAAUAGAAAAGUCUUUUCAACUUUGGUAACCCCAGAAGCUACCUUCCUAGAUAGGCAUUGCCAUACCACAUCAAUUUUUGCUUGAAUGCAAAAUUGACAAACCCAAAUCAUUCUUAACUAACUUUCAUCGAAAUUAAUUUUGUGAGUCAUGUUGAACUUGCAGAGGACAAGUUUGCCUGGCUGCGAGAUGACGAAUUCGCCCGCCAAGCAAUAGCAGGAGUUAACCCAGUCAACAUUGAGAGACUCAAGGUUUUCCCUCCUGUGAGCAACCUUGAUCCCGACGUUUAUGGUCCACUGGAAUCUUCCCUUAAAGAAGAGCACAUUCUUGGCCAAAUUAAUGGGAUGACCGUGCAGCAGGUGAAUUAUCACGUCAAGAUGUUAACCUAUCACUCAGAUAUUUUCUCACUAAAACAAGAAUUGACAACCACAUUUUCAAAUCCUAAUAUCAUCUCCCUUCAAAUUGCUUUGAUUGUUACAGGCAUUGGAUGAAAACAAAUUGUUUAUAGUGGACUACCAUGAUGUUUACCUUCCAUUUAUUGAUCGGAUCAACUCUCUCGACGGCCGGAAAACAUAUGCAACUCGCACAAUAUUCUUCUUGACACCACUUGGAACUCUCAAACCUAUCGCCAUAGAGCUCAGCCUUCCAUCAACCGCACCAAGUUCUCGAUCAAAGCGCGUCGUAACUCCACCAGUCGACGCCACAAGCAACUGGACAUGGCAGCUCGCCAAGGCUCACGUCUGCUCCAACGACGCCGGAGUUCAUCAACUUGUUAAUCACUGGUAAUUGAGCAAACUUUAUAACUCCAAAAGACGAAAUGGAUUAAGCUUUCUGAUUACUAAAAAUGGCUUACUAUUGAUGACAGGUUGAGAACGCAUGCAACCUUAGAGCCAUUCAUAUUGGCAGCACACAGGCACCUAAGCGCAAUGCACCCAAUCUUCAAGCUCUUAGACCCACACAUGCGAUACACAAUGGAGAUCAACGCAUUAGCGCGCCAAAGCCUGAUCAGUGGCGACGGAGUGAUCGAGUCUUGCUUCACUCCAGGCCGUUACUGCAUGGAGAUCAGUGCCGCAGCUUACAAAAAUUUUUGGCGCUUCGACAUGGAAGGCCUUCCCGCCGAUCUCAUACGCAGGGGAAUGGCUGAACCGGACCCUUCAAAGCCUCAUGGACUCAAGCUUUUGAUGGAGGAUUAUCCAUACGCUAGCGAUGGGCUUCUUAUUUGGGCCGCAAUCGAGAAUUGGGUAAAAACCUAUGUAACUCAUUACUAUCCAAACCCUAACAUGAUCCGCGAAGAUGAAGAGUUGCAAUCCUGGUACUGGGAGUCCAUCCAUGUAGGCCACGGCGAUCUCCGCCAUGAAACCUGGUGGCCAGAAUUGAACAACUGCGACGAUCUCAUCUCCAUUCUCACCACGCUCAUCUGGCUCUCAUCAGCACAACACGCAGCACUAAACUUCGGCCAGUAUCCAUACGGAGGCUACGUACCAAACCGACCUCCAUUAAUGCGUCGACUAAUUCCCGACGAGAACGAUCCAGAGUACACGAUCUUCCUGAACGAUCCUCAGAAGUAUUUCCUCUCAGCGUUGCCUAGUGUCCUGCAGGCGACGAAGUUCAUGGCGGUAGUAGAUACACUAUCAACUCACUCGCCGGACGAGGAGUACCUCGGAGAAAGACAGCAGCCAUCGAUUUGGACGGGGGAUGCGGAGAUGGUGGAGGCAUUUUACGGAUUCUCGGCGGAGAUCGGAAGGAUCGAGAAGGAAAUCGAUAGAAGAAAUGCAGAUGGACGGCUGAAGAACCGGUGCGGCGCCGGAGUUUUGCCGUAUGAACUGCUAGCGCCGAGCUCGGAACCGGGAGUUACCUGCCGGGGAGUACCAAAUAGUGUGUCGAUUUGAGGGGAAUUCCAUUUCCCGCCAUUGUUGAGUUGAGUUUAAGAGGUCAGUGUUUCAAAAGAAACGUGACGCGAGGGAGGAAUAUUUAUAUGAAUUUAUUUAAAUAUUUUAGAGAGGGAAAAGAAAAUAGUAAAAAUUUAGGGAUAUUUUUGUAAAUGCUGUAAAGCCUCGUAGCUUUAAUGAUUAAUUAGAUGAAAUUAAUUAAGCAAUAAAGUUUGUUCAAUUGGUCUAUAGGAUGUGUAGAAUAUGCAUUGAAGCUUAAUGUAGAACCAUUUUUAAUUUAUAAUAUGAUGGUAAAUUGUAAUGGAAGAUUCUUAUAACCUAACGUAUAUCCAAACUUCUUAUAUAG
rnacentral:lncRNA from 1 species